AGGUUUUCAGGGGACAGGCCAACCCAGAGGACAGGAUUCCCUGGAGGCCACAGAGGAGCACCAAGGAGAAGAUCGCCUGUGGGUCUUCAUUGCCCAGCUCCUGCCCACACUCCUGCCUGCUGCCCUGACGAGAGUCAUCAUGUCUCUUGAGCAGAGGAGUCUGCACUGCAAGCCUGAGGAAGCCCUUGAGGCCCAACAAGAGGCCCUGGGCCUGGUGUGUGUGCAGGCUGCCACCUCCUCCUCCUCUCCUCUGGUCCUGGGCACCCUGGAGGAGGUGCCCACUGCUGGGUCAACAGAUCCUCCCCAGAGUCCUCAGGGAGCCUCCGCCUUUCCCACUACCAUCAACUUCACUCGACAGAGGCAACCCAGUGAGGGUUCCAG
rnacentral:lncRNA from 1 species